rnacentral:rRNA from 1 species
GACGAACGCUGGCGGCGUGCUUAACACAUGCAAGUCGAACGGAAAGGCCCUGCUUUUGUGGGGUGCUCGAGUGGCGAACGGGUGAGUAACACGUGAGUAACCUGCCCUUGACUUUGGGAUAACUUCAGGAAACUGGGGCUAAUACCGGAUAGGAGCUCCUGCUGCAUGGUGGGGGUUGGAAAGUUUCGGCGGUUGGGGAUGGACUCGCGGCUUAUCAGCUUGUUGGUGGGGUAGUGGCUUACCAAGGCUUUGACGGGUAGCCGGCCUGAGAGGGUGACCGGCCACAUUGGGACUGAGAUACGGCCCAGACUCCUACGGGAGGCAGCAGUGGGGAAUAUUGCACAAUGGGCGGAAGCCUGAUGCAGCAACGCCGCGUGCGGGAUGACGGCAUUCGGGUUGUAAACCGCUUUCGCAUGUGACGAAGCGUGAGUGACGGUAAUGGGUAAAGAAGCACCGGCUAACUACGU